AUGGGGGCGCGCUUCAGGCGCCCGUUUGUAAAAAUGCACAGUAACAGGCGCCUAGAGCGCCAAAUAGGAAUCGCUCGCAUUCUAGGGGUUGAUUGUGGAUUCUCAUACACGAACUCUUGUAUGGCUCAAAGUGAUGUCCUCCCAGAGGAAGAAGUUACACACGGUGGGUGCAGCCUGUGUACUUUGGGGUAUUUGGAAAGCGAGAAACUUGGUGUCGGAGGACGCAAAGCUGGCGUUACGACGGGGCGCAAAGCUCCUAGAGUUGUUGAUCAGCUAGGGUCUGCUGGGGGGUAUUUGUCGAAGGGGUGGAGAUUUGCGGUCGAACACACACGAGGCACCCAACUGGGCCGGCCCAUUGGCACGCAGCAAAGCGAGUCAAUGGUAAACCGUUGGUCUUACAUGAAAGUAGUAGUGUGCUUGUUUAUUUGUUCUAGCUCCCACAUAGAGAAUCAAGUAGGGACUUCCCGCGCGCUCGACAUUUGCGUACUUCAACUUCAUCUGCAGAUCAGAUUCUUUACCCAUAGGGCAUCAGCUAGAACCGACCUUUUCAAUCGGGUAUCAACCAUACAAGAGGCUAACGUGCGCUUCGUCGCGCCGUUCUUCACUGUACAGUAUAAUCUUUUUCAUGCCGAUCAUGAAAAGGACAGCUCCAUAUUGCAUGAUCCGGUUCACGGGUGCCACCAAGGAGUAGGAGUGUGCCGGAAGCGAAUCCAUUCACGGGAUGCGACGCACAGUGGUACUCCUAUACACAACUGCUACAGGAGUAGCAUUUGCUCAAAGAUCCAGAGCCCGACCGAGCAAGGACGGCACAAAUUCUAUGAUGCGUCAGAACAAAAGGAAAACAUUCCCAUCAAAAGAACAAAGAACACAAGGAUAACAAGGCGGCCUGCAGGAUUCAUUCAAGGCCAUCGUGACUUUGCCAGAACAGAGGUCUCUGCUUCUCCAGGAGAAGUCCGUGCCCAUAGGAAUAUGGCCACUGACGAUACUUGUCCAAUCUGUAAUGCGGCUGUCGACACAUGGAGACAUGCUCUUAUUGAGUGCAAUAUGUCAAGAGCAGUCUGGGCUUUAGCCGACGAUGAGGUGGUUGAGCACCUGAUCAUGAACCGGACUGAUGAUGCUCGGUUGUGGAUUUUUUGGCUUUUUGACACAAUGAAAGAAAACGAACUGGCUACGACACUUGUCACCCUUUGGGCGAUUUGGUGGGCAAGAAGAAGAGCUAUUCAUGAUGAAGAAUUCCAUAAUCCUAUUUCCACUUUUGGUUUUAUCACAAAGUACUUAGAAGAAAUUGAGGUGCCCAUGAAACAGAAGAGAGCAAUGAAACCUGAUGCACAUGAAGCGAGGCAUAGCAGGUUGUGGAGUCCUCUGAAGCCUGGUUGGUGCAAGGUGAGUGUUGAUGGAGGAUUGUCCAGGGACGGUCGAAGAGGGGCAGCAGCAGCUAUUUGUCGUGAUGAGCGCGGACAUUUUUUGGGUGCUUCCGCUGUUGUUUUGAAUGGCCAGACAAAUUCAGCAUGUCUAGAAGCUAUAGCAUGCAAUGAAGGUUUUGCUCUUGCCCAAGAUCUCAAUAUUAGGAAGAUAAAAGUUGCCUCAGACUGCCUGGAAGUUGUCACUAAUUUUCAGAAGAAGGCGAAAUGCUCAUACUCGGUGAUUUUGCGAGAAGUGGAGGAUAGGGCUAAAUUGUUUACUCUAGUGGAGGUGGUGCAUGAGUAUAGGGAGUUCGUAGUAGAUGCUCAUAGCAUCUCUGUGUCUCUCUCGUCACUUGUUCCUAUCCUCGUUAAGCCCAGCCCUCUAGCAAUGACGGCGAUGAUUGAGCGUCGCUUCCUUCCUGAAGAUAUUGCUGUUGAAGAAUCUCGCUAUCCGUGUAGUGUCAUGAGAUGGUCAGUGCGGGAUAUUAGUGUCACGAAAAAAACAACCCUUCGCUCCGGUGCCGCUCCUGGGGGCACCGGGGCGUCAAACCUAGCCGCCAGAGGAGGGCUAGAUCUGUGCUUGCCCUGCCACCGGCGUUGGUCGCGGCGGCGGCGGGCUCCUGCCUCAAAGGGGGAGGGACGCCCAUGCGUCGUUCUGGCGGCAGUGUUGGAAACUCGGGACAGCGGCCACGGGGACGGUCGCGAGUUCAGCGCGGUUGUGGGCGGCGGCGGUCCACUUCGGCUGCGUGGGCAGCGACGAGGACGUCGGCUGAUGGGUGUACCUGCUGGUUGCUGCGGUGGCAGGACUCAGCGGCAGCGUGCUAUACAUCCGCAUGGGAUGGGCGGAGCGCCCUGGACUCGGCAGCGUGCUACUGAUCUGAUGGCCUACCUCUGGUCGGCUUCCUCCAUUGUGGUGAGCACAUGCGCGUCGGAGCACGUGUUGCUUGACGGCAUCGGCUGUGAUGAGGCAUCUAUGUAUCCUGAUCUAGCGGUGGCUGGGUUCUGUGGGCGCGCCUCGAUGAUGCUGAUCUGUCUUUUGAGCUCUACCUCCGACAAUGUUGACCCAGGGCCAACGAGCAUGAGUAGACCUCUUUCCGGCGAGGUGGUAGUCGGCAGUGUUGCGCUCCGCCAUCGGUGUUGGUUCUUGAUGACCACUCUAGCUUGCGGCGGCGGCCUUGCUGUGGAUUAUGGCCAUCAAAAGAUGUUGGUUGUGUUCAUCCUAACUAUGCAGAGGCCGGGUGUAUACUUCUUCUAA
rnacentral:rRNA from 1 species